ensembl:lncRNA
UGUGAUCUUCCUGUCUGGGUUGGCGCCCCCCUUGGGUUGUGCCGUGGCGGAGAUCUUUGUGGGCUAUACUCGGCCUUGUCUCAGGGUGGUAAGUUGGUGGUUGAAGAUAUUCCUCUAGUGGUGUGGGGGCUGUGCUUUGGCAAAGUGGGUGGGGUUAUAUCCUGCCUAUUUGGCCCUGUCCGGGGGGUAUCAUCGGAUGGGGCCACAGUGUCUCCUGACCCCUCCUGUCUCAGCCUCCAGUAUUUAUGCUGCAGUAGUUUAUGUGUCGGGGGGGCUAGAGUCAGUUUGUUAUAUCUGGAGUACUUCUCCUGUCUUAUCCGGUGUCAUGUGUGAAUUUAAGUAUGCUCUCUCUAAUUCUCUCUUUCUUUCUCUCUCUCGGAGGACCUGAGCCCUUGGACCAUGCCUGAGGACUACCUGGCAUGAUGACUCCUUGCUGUCCCCAGUCCACCUGGCCGUGCUGCUGCUCCAGUUUCAAAUGUUCUACCUGCGGUCUCCAAGACUGAGGAAGAGCUUCAGGAGAUCCUGAUCCGAAAAGAGGCGCAGAUGAAAGAAAAGCAGGAACGGAAGAAAAACAAGAGCAGGAUGUUUCCCAAAAGAAAGCGUUACGGGAGGAGAACAAGAAAAGAAGCAUGGCAGGCAUCAAGAGGAAGCGCCAGGAGGAGGAAGAGCAUGACCCUGAAGUGGAGGAUCCCGGGAACCAGGAUAACAGGCCCCCGGUUGUUGAAUCUGACGACGAGGCAGAGUACUACAGACAGAUAUGUUCCCUGCAGCCAAGAGGAGGCAAAGACCUG